CCCACACACUCGCCUUGCGGAGAACUGUCUUGCGCCAGCGACGAGGCAGGGGACGUCAGAAAGGAGCCAGGGGGCGACAGAGACGAGGAGAUGGAAGAACGCCGUCUAGCAGCUCCACCGUACCCAACAUCGGGGGUGUCCCGCGGCAGAGACAAGGCGGGCUGCGCCGUCCUCAAGGCAUUGCGGCUUGCGGCCAUGGGGGAGGAGGCUGAGGAGGCCCCUUGGUUGUGCUCCGACGGAUCCCGGAUGGAGAGCCCGAGCGCUAGCGUGGGGAGGAACCGCCGGUUGCAGCGGUGGCGGCGGAGAGGAGGCCCGGCGAAUGAGCUGUGAUGGAGAUGGCCGCGCUUAGGUGCGGCGGGGGCGACGGAGAGGAGGCGCGGCGAAGGAGCUGCGCUGGAGAUUGUCGCAUUUAGGUGCGGCGGGUGUCGAGAUGUAGCCGGAGACCUACGCUGCGUGGUGGCACUGCUUCCGUCGGCGCUGGCCGCGCACUUCCUGGUGGCCACCACGGAGCUCCAACUUGGCAUUCACGAGUUUGAACUGCGCCAAGGACGGGGCGGCUCGCUGGACUAGCCAUCCCAUGUCUACUACCAAUAGCGCCCGAGCUGGCUGUCAACGAAGAGAUGGUGUCCUGAGGUAUGCCAUGUUUCUCAGUUGUUUUCAUACGAAUUGUGCAUAGCUCUUGACCACCGAGAUUACAAGUUCGCACAUCUACUGAGCAUGUGAGAAGCUCAUCUGGUUCUGGUAGAGUGUGGAGUUAAGGGCUUUCGAUCAAGUUCAUGUCAAAAUGUUGGCAACACGUUCUAUAUUUCAAUGGCAAAUAUCAGAUGACAAGAUUUAGAAAUUGUUUGCCUUGCAUUUUUGAAAUAUAACCAAUUUGAAUCAAAAUCCAUGGCAAAUUUGCAUAGUUUGGCAGUGAAAUGUAAAGUUAACAAUUCUGGGAUUUUGUACAUUAUGCUAUAUUACAACAAUAAAAAACAAAAAAUGUACAAAAAUGAUAGUAAAAUGGUUUAUAGUCGUGGCAAUUGCUAGACAUUAUUUAGUAUUGGUAUGAUGGCAAGUUAAAAAUUUGUUCUUAUAACAAUUUUUCAAGUUUUGCCACUCUACUGACUGAAUCAUUUGUUUUGUGUGAUCUGAACAAAACAGAGAUACAUACUAGUCUUCCAGGACAGAAUGGUAUUUUUGUGUCCCUAGAUUUUGUUGUGGUGGUGAUAGGCUAUGAGUUUUGAGAAGAAAAUAAAUGAUUUGUGGCUGGAUUGAUCAGGCUAUGGGCGCUGAAUCUGUAGUGGGGAAAGGGAUUUUUGGAGUUUGUGGUCAUCUUCGUUGAACAACAUCAGCGAUAAUUAAGCUGAAAAGGGAUAUGGAGUAAUCAAAGCUGCUUUUCAUUUAGAGAGAAUGAUUCAGAACUAAACAUGUACUGUAUGAUACAUUUUUUCUUAAAUUUGCCGUCUCACUGUAUAAUUUUUUUAAAUUUUCAUGGAAGAUGGGAAAUAUAGUUAUCAAAUGAUGGUAAAUUCAGUUCUCGGAUCAUGGAAAAAUCAUUGCUUUCUUGCCAUGGCAACUUUCAAUUUUGGAUCAUAGCGCAAAUUUACUGUUUUCAACCAUGGCAACUAAUCUUAUACUUUUUGCCAUGCAAACAUUAAAAAAGUAUUUGAUUGAUCGUGGCAAAAUUUAGUUUACGCAUCAUACCAAACUUGCUUCCUGUAAGAUGGCAAACAUAGUUAUCAAAUCAUGGCAAAUUUAGUUCUGGAAUCAUGGCGGAUUCAUUGCUUUCUUGCCAUGGCAGCUUUUGAUUUUUUAAAUUUCCGCGGCAAUUCUUUAAAUUGUCGAAAACAACACAAAAUGGCAAAUAUUGCCAUGGCAAGUUUUACUAAUUAUUUCACCUUCAUUAACAUGGCAAAAUUACCUACAUCCCCAUGGCAAUUUUAACACUUUAUUGCCAUGGCAAGUUUUACUAUUUAUUUUCCAUGGCAAAUUUACCUUUAUUAACAUGGCAAAUUCACCUAAGUCCCAAUGGCAAUAUUUAACUUUUAUUGCCAUGGCAAGUUUUACUAUUUUUUGGACUUUUAUUAACAUGGCAAAUUUACCUAAAUCGCUAUGGCAAUAUUGAACUUUUAUUGCCAUGGCAAGUUUUACUAUUUAUUUGCCAUGGAUAAAUAUACCUUGGUUCAGGAUGUUGUGUAGUUGAUACUUGCAAUGUUCAUGGCAAUUUCAUCUCUGUCCUUGUUCAUAAACAAUAGCAAAUUUAUACUAUAUAAGGCUCUAUAUGACAAAAUUCAUGCGAUUUGCGGUGGCACCUUUUUAUUUGAAAACAUGGCAAAUUUACCAUGGCAAGAUAUGAUUUUCAGAAACAUGGCAAAGUUUAUAGAUGUUCAAAAACAUGCCAAACUUGCCAUGUCAACUUAAUAUGUUCAAAAACAUGGCAAACUUGCCAUGGCAAAUUAAUAUGUACAAAAACAUGGCAGUUUUUGGGCCUACAAAUAUUGUAAUUUGUUUUUAAUUCUUGAAGGCAAUUGUGUUUCUGGGCUGGGCUGGUCCGUUGGAGGGGAGGGAGGGAGGUCGUUUGGGAAGGAGAGCUCUUUCAAUCGAACAAAAACGUUCGUCGCGAGGGAGCUGAUUUACCGAACAAAAGGUUCGGUUUGGGAUGUCCCCAGACCGAAUGGUCGGUGGUUAUCGGGGUCCAAUUUUUUCUAUACAUGCACAAUGGCAAUUUUUGUACAAAUCUUUUUUGUUCUAUCUUAUAUAGCCAUUUUUUUGUUUUUUUGUGUGUUUUCAUAAUAUCAUGGCAAAAUUUCCACACUCAUUUGCCAUGAAGUGUGCAUGAACAUCAUGGCAAAUCAUUUCUGUAAUAUACCUUUUUUUUCAUGAUCGUAUGGUAGUUUUGUUCAUUAAAGGAUGGCCCCAUUUUGGGCUGGUUCGCUGGAGGGGAGGAGCCAAAUCGCUAACGACAAGGUUGUGCAAUGUGGGAUCGUUCGGGCUUGAGGGGUACUUCUACCGAACGAGUUUGUUCGUUCCAGCGACCCUUCCAGCACGAACGAUUCGUUCGGGCUGGGUGCCUCCACGCCGAACGUUCGGGGGUUAUCGGUGUCCAAUGUCUGAUUUUAUUUCUCAUGCCUUUGUAAAUGACCUUGCGAUUAUUUGAGAAAUAAAGUCUUGAUGUUUAAAAAAAACAUUCGUUACGUUUUUUUUGUUGCAUGGUAAACCAUUUGCACGUUUGCCAUUGCUUGUGUUUCCUACCUUCAGCAAAAAGUAUAAAAUUGCUUGUGUUUCCAAACGUAUACGUGCCGACUGUUUUUUCUGGAAACCCCGCCGAGCGUAUUUAGGUUUGCCUGCACCGUGCAAGUAUGCAGCGCGACACAGGCUGAGGUGAGCGGCGGCGGCCGAAUGCCAGGCACAAAUGCACGACCACCUGGCCGCCCUCCUCCGCGGCGGCGGCGGCGGCCGUCACCCGCGCGCAGUCCACGGCGCCGCCGCGAAGCUCGGCUGCCUCGCCUCCACCUACCUCUGCAACAACCUCCUACUCUCCUACAUCAGCGGCAGCCUCCACGCGGAAGCGCGCCGCCUGUUCGACGAAAUGCCCCAGCGCAACGUCGUCUCCUGGUCAGUCCUCGUCUCCGGCGCCUCUCGCCUCGGCGACCUCCGGGAGGCCUCUUUUCUCUUCUCCGACAUGCUUCGUAGCGGGGAGAGCGGAAGCUGCGACCGCCCCAACUCGUUCGUGCUGGGCGCGCUGGUCGCCGGGUGCGCCCGUGCCAAAGACACCGCCGCGGGCUCACAAGCGCAUGCCUCCGCUCUCAAGUUUGGUGUGGCCGAGGACGAGAGCGUUGCGGGGGCGCUGGUGGAUAUGUACUCCAAGUGCGGGCGCGUGGACUUGUCCUGGCGGGCGUUUGCGGUCUCGCCGCAGAGGUGCGUCGCCAGCUGGACGAGCAUAAUCAGCUGCCUUGUCAACCAGGGAUGUUCAGAGCACCGUGAUGCAGCAAUUUCCUUGCUAAAGAAGAUGCUGCUCUUGAAGGUUUGGCCAACAAACGCAACGUUUUCCUGCAUCCUGAAGGUAUUUGAUGCACCUGAGUUGCUCCCUGGUGGGAAGCAAAUCCACGGCUGCUUAUUGAAGAUGGGAACUGAGGUUGAUCCUGCUUUAGGAACUGCCCUUAUAGCGAUGUAUGGUAGAUGCGGUGGAGUGAAUGAGAUGUCUAGGUUGUCUUGCCGUAUAAGGCAUGAUGCCUUCUCCAGGACUUCACUUCUUGUAGCUUUUGCGCGGAAUGGAUGCAACAUGGACGCAGUUUGGAACUUUCGUGAGAUGGUCAUGGAAAAUAUGGCAAUUGAUCAGUCAGCUGUAACUAGCCUACUGCAGGUUUGUUCAUCAUUAGGACAGCUGAGAGUGGCCAAGGAGGUCCACUGCUAUGCUCUGAAGACUUUCUUUAAGCUGGAUACAUUACUGCUCAAUGCAACUAUCACUGUUUAUGGCAGAUGUGGGGAUGUCACAAGUGCAGAGAUUAUAUUUAAUCGUCUGGAAAACAAAGACAUUAUAUCAUGGACGGCAUUAUUAACUUGCUACGCGCAAAAUAAUCUUGCUCUGGAGACACUCUUGCUCUUCAGGGAAAUGCUUCGGAAAGGCUUAGGAUCUCCCGUCUUUUGCAUUACCAGUGUGCUAAGGGCCUGUUCUAGCACCACAAAUUAUGCUGUUGGGUGGCAAAUUCAUUCGAGGGUGGUGAAGUUAGGACUUGAUGAUGCCAAUUCGGUUGAGAAUGCCCUUUUGACCAUGUACGCCAAGUGCGGAAGUGUUCAUAUUGCACUGAAGAUUUUCAAUUCAAUGAGGAGUAGAGGCAUUAUCUCGUGGAAUGCACUAAUCACAAGUUUUUCACAGCAUGGAAAUGAGGUGGCAGCCAUUCAGCUAUUUGACCUGAUGCAAGAAGAAGCAGUUUGUCCAGAUGAUUACACUUUUGUCGGGUUGUUAUCAUCUUGCAGCCGAAUGGGCCUAGUUGCUGAGGGUUGUGAGUAUUUCAAACUGAUGAACACCAAGUACAGUGUGAAGCCUAAGAUGGAGCACUACACAUGCAUGGUUGAUCUUUUUGCCCGCGCUGGAAGAUUUUCGGAUGCACUCGAGUUUAUUGAUGCUAUGCCUUGUCAUCCGGACCAACUCGUGUGGGAAGCUUUGCUAGCUUCAUGUAGGACUCAUGGUAAUGUGGAGUUGGGAAGGCUGGCAGCAAAGAAGAUUCUUGAAAUAAGACCAGAUGAUCCUUCACCAUACAUUACAUUAUCCAGCAUUCAUGCUUCAAUUGACAUGUGGGAAGAGAAGGCUUGGAAUCGUACUGUGUUUGAUGUCCAGCAAGUAAGAAAAGAUGUGGGAAGUAGUUGGGUUGCUGGAGAAGAAUUUUCAGAUAAUACAUGUGAUGUAUUGCAAGUUGGAAUAACGUAAGAUUGGUGAUGCGUUGAUGUGUCGUUUUCUACACAUCAGGUGGAGUUACACUUGAUGGUUGUAUUGAGGCAUAAUGGACUCAACCGUGUGAGAUUGACUGACUGCUUGCCACGGUUGUCAUGUCUGGGAAUUGAGCCCAAUGUCAUAUCUAAGAUGACUUGGUACAAAGGACAAGAUUAUUAUCCUUUAUAUGCCAUAGGACAUGGUUGCAAUAUGUUUCUUAUCUUAAGGUGAGUUUUGAUGUUAUUGGAAAUUUAGAGGUGUAAACCCAUUAUUGGAAGCAAAUGCAAUGCCAGGCAUCAAUACCCUUUUUGCAUUCAACCUGCAAUGGAAGCAAAGAAGACACAAUGCUAAUGUCAUGUUAACUGCAACAUCAACAAUCUGUAUACGAGGAUCUCGUAUGUGCUUACUAUUCAGUAUUCACAAUUCAAAACACUGGAGCUUCACUACUGAAUAUAUGUCAGUAUGUGAUGAUGCGUGCGAUUUUGUUGAGCUUAGGGAUGCAAAGUGGUGUCCCAUGUCAGCCCGCUUCCUUCAGUUGAUAAAAAAAAAGUCUGGCCCCUAUUUGCUGUAAUCAGUGCAUUUUAUACUGGUAGCUUAGUUUAGUGGGCCUUAGCAGGAUGCCAUUUUGCAUCCCUAGUUGAGCUUGUAAUGUAAGUAACUUAUUAGUCAACUGCAAAUUCUGCUAGUCAUAUUGAUCCUUGAUUGAUCUCUUUUGAGGUAAUUUAUCCAUGACUGGGCUACCAUUAACUAGAUAUAAUCAUAUUUCCCAGAUAGCCAAAAUACAAGAUGGGUGGAACAGUCAACAGAAGAACUGUAGAGCAACUAUUUUUCGAGUACUUGGAUCUCAUGAAGUGAUCUGACUUCAGUUUACAUUAUACCAGUACAAAUUCUUACAUGGAAAACUAGUUGGAACUUAUGUGCUCUAUGUAUAUAGUGUUAUUAUUUGCAUAUCACUUCUCCUCUCCAAACGGUACAUUUGAAUGCGCUUUAUUUGUCACACCAAAAAAUGAAUUGAAUUGUAGUAGUGUAGUGCAUGCUUUCUAACAUUAGUUGGUGUUACAUCUGAACUGUUUGGGAGUUCUGCAAUCCUAGAGCGUGCUGCAAUGACGCCCCAUGCUGUUAGUUCUCUUCGACUUCAUGAAAAGGAAGUGGAACAACCUUCACAGCUCUGAACUUCCCUGCAUUGUUUAGGUGUUCGUUCUCCAGCCUGACAGAGAAGUUAUUCAUAAUGUUCUUUUAGUGUAAAUUCAGGCUUGUAUAUCCAUCACAAUGAAAAAUUCAAGACUUAGGAUUCACUGGCAAAAACUUUACCUGUAGAAGUUCCAAAGGCCCCGUCGAAUCACCUCAAGAGCUGCCAAAAAGAACAGAGUUACUCUAGAAUCCAGGCUUCCAAUGUUAGGGUGGAUGACAGUUUGAAGCCAAGCAAGCCUCAAAAGAAGGUUCAAACCCUGUAAAAUGUCAGGCUCUCUGUACUUCAUUGCUUUCCUUUUGUCACCGCUUGCGAAAUGUCUCACAAACAGCUCCUCGACAUCGUCCAUUAACCUGAUUGCCUAUUAAGAGGAAGUUUUCAGUCAGAACUCGGAACCUUUGGAGUUUUGGUAGAGUGAAAUGCUUCAGAUCUUCUCAAGUGUGCUGUAUGAUUGGAAAAUACCUUGUCGGAGCUAUUAAAGUAGGAGCUCUCCACUACUUUCAGGCAAUGCGAUAAGGAGAGAGGCAUUGGCAGGAACCUUGUCAAAUUUCUUCAAAAUCUUCACAAAAGCCAGCAUGUUCAAGCUCCUGCAACAAGAGUGCUUUCCCUGUCAGUACCCACUCGGUGCACAAAGCAGAACAACAUACCAAGUUAUCAGCUACACCUACCGAUAUGUCUUGAGGUACCCCAAGCCCUUGUACAGCUCAACCAGGGCUCCUCUGAUCAUCUUCUCUGCCUGGUGCACCUUUUUCUUGUUGAUGCUCAACUUCUCACCGCCAUCACCACCAUUCCCCCCAGUCUUCCUUGACUGGCUUAGCAUGUCAUCGAACAGAAGUUCACGGAUGGCGAACACGGUCCUCGACGGUGUGGUGACUGGAAUGUUGAUCCUCACGCUCCUACCCUGGCAAGUGACUGCCCUUCCCGAGAAUGUCAUCAGCUUGUUGGCUACUUCUUCUGUCGGCUUCUCAAUCCUCCCCGAGUCACCCAGACCUUCGGAGAUGGAAAGAUGGUCCUCCCCUUCAUCAGUGUUCUUUGCCGUAGCAUUGUCGGCGAGCUUUUCUUGA
rnacentral:rRNA from 1 species